AAAGACCCUCUUCUGCAUAAUAUGUUCUCCUGCUCUCCGUGGACGGCUCCUUAUUAGGGUGGAAUUGCUGUGGGCCUGUCAUGUUCCUGGGCUACAGUGGGGCUGGCAGAUCUUCAUCCUUCUGCACCUUCUUUUCCUUUAUUCACCUCGAAUCAGAAGCAAGUGAGCACCUAACAGGACUGACACCGGGAUUUAUGACUUUAGAAGUACUUUUUAAACUGUACAGAAAAACAAAUGUUAAGGUGGUGGUUGGUAUUAAACAGACAAAAGGGACAUUUUCGCUCUACACUUUUAAAAGUCAAUGGGAAGAUUUAUUACCUAAAUGGAAAAUGAAAUUUCUUCUUACUUAUGAAUCUUCCUUGGAAAUGGCUGCAUCCCCCAGCUUAACAUAGCUGAGUGUGCAGGUGAUCAUCUGACCUGUUAAAAGCAGGGACUAUAGUGAUCACUGGUGUGGGUUGGAAGAA
rnacentral:lncRNA from 1 species